CGGAAGCUAAAUGUUUACAUUUAGUGGAUGUGAGUGGCGGACUGGUGAGUAACAUGUAAGAAAUCUGCCUAUUAGAGGGGAAUAACAGUGAGAAAUCAUUGCUAAUACCGCAUAUGCCAUAAGUAUCGCAUGAUACAAGUGGGAAAGGAGUAAUCCGCUGAUAGAUGAUCUUGCACCUGAUUAGCUAGUUGGUGUGGUAAAGGCAUACCAAGGCGAUGAUCAGUAGCCGGACUGAGAGGUUGAACGGCCACAUUGGGACUGAGAUACGGCCCAGACUCCUACGGGAGGCAGCAGUCGGGAAUAUUGCGCAAUGGAGGAAACUCUGACGCAGUGACGCCGCGUAUGGGAAGAAGGUUUUCGGAUUGUAAACCAUUUUAGACAGGGAAGAAACAAGACAGUACCUGUAGAAUAAGCUCCGGCUAACUACGUGCCAGCAGCCGCGGUAAUACGUAGGGAGCGAGCGUUAUCCGGAUUUAUUGGGUGUAAAGGGUGCGUAGACGGGAAAUUAAGUUAGUUGUGAAAUCCCUCGGCUUAACCGAGGAACUGCAACUAAAACUGAUUUUCUUGAGUGUCGGAGAGGAAAGUGGAAUUCCUAGUGUAGCGGUGAAAUGCGUAGAUAUUA
rnacentral:rRNA from 1 species